rnacentral:lncRNA from 1 species
AAAGAAAAUUCAAAUACCCAAUAGUAGUUUCACAAGACCAUUAUCUUUUGAUUGCCAAACUUUAAAGUAUUUCCCAGACCAACUGAUGAAGUAAAUAAUUGCUCAUCCUCUAUAUUAUUUCUGCCACCCUGGAUCUCUGUGGAGGACUAAAGGGAAACAGAAUUUUCUUAGGGUGAAUUUCAUGAACAGAAAGCUAUUUGUCUAGUGCUUAGCCAAGAAAACCGAAUCACUAAAGGAACUAUUUACUCCUAAUUUUUCUGUUAUUGUUCCAAAUCCUUUGUUCAUCUUUUCCUUCUUUCUGCCCGUUAUGUCUCCUCAGGUUUCUUUAGAGAAAAUAAAAAAAACAAUCUGAAAAACUAUGCAGGCUACUGAAACAUGUGCAACCUCUCAGUUAUUGUAGGUCAGGAUGAUCUGGCAGUGUAGAGUGACAUGCUGGAAUCAGCAUUGCUUUGGACUGAGAGGAGGAGCAGACAGCAAAAGCUCAGUGUCCUCAGCAGACACAGAUCUGCUUCUUCAGUCACUUACAGAAGCAAAUCUAUGAAGGCAGAGGAGGGGGUGAUUUCCUGCAACCUUUCCAGUCUGUUUUCAGAACAAGUAUUUUCAUGGGUGGAGGAGAUCCUUUCAGAUAAAUUUGUGGAAAACCAGAAAGAUUUUCAGAAUGUUUUGCAGUCCUGUGAUCCUGAGUGUACAGGCACAAUGAAUAGAAGUCCUACAGCUUCUACAGCUACAGUUGUGUUGUCCCUCUUUGCCAGAUCAACAGUUUGGGAGGCAAGUUGAUGGUGUGUGAAUUGUAACAGGUUUAAGGUAAGUUUUUUUUUCACCAUAACUUACUUUCUGUCCUUUAAUAUGGCAGCUAUAGCUGGAGAUUUUGAGCGUUUUGGUUUGCCUUAAGCAUAUCAGAAAGAGAAGAUUGGUGGAAGAGAUUCACCAUUCCUCAUGGGAUAAGCUUGUAACUUAUUUAGGCUCUGAAUGUUGGAAACUCUUGUGAGUUUGACAUGAUGUCA